AGGAUGCUUGUGAUGAAAACAUAGUUCAGCAGAUAAUCUCUGAUGAACUCCUUGUCUUUCGCUCCUAUCUGAUGCAUCCU
rnacentral:snoRNA from 1 species